rnacentral:SRP_RNA from 1 species
GCUGGGCGCAGUGGCGGGCGCCUGUAGUCCCAGCUACUCGGGAGGCUGAGGCAGGAGAAUGGCGUGAACCCGGGAGGCUGAGGUUGCAGUGAGCAGAUUGCGCCACUGCGCUCCAGCCUGGGUGACAGAGCAAGUCUCUGUCUCAA